UACAAUGUUUGAUUAUUCGUCUUAUUCAAAAAAAAUUAUGAUUAAUAAUUUUAUUUUUAUUAAAUGAUAAAACAUAAAUAGUACUUUAUGUGUGACUAAUUUUUUUAAUUUUUUUUAAAAAAUUUUCAAAUAAGACGGAUGGUCAAACGCUCGACAAAAAACCAAAAAGUUG
rnacentral:pre_miRNA from 1 species